GCUGGGGUCAUUAAUGGAAGCGACAGGCCACAUGUCAGGUGAGGUGAUGCUACCCGCUAAAUCCAUGGAAAUCAAAACGAGGAUUUUGAGGGUAUGCUCCACAGAGGUAGCAAGGUCUCCCACAAUCUUUUCCCUCUCACGGCUCUUGCCUCUAUAAAUAGAGACAAUUAGAGGACCCCCAAGGUAUGCAACUCUUUCGUACGGUCAUUCUCAUCUAUUCUAGAUUUCUGACUUGAGCGUUG
rnacentral:lncRNA from 1 species